rnacentral:rRNA from 1 species
AUUCCAGCUCCAAUAGCGUAUAUUAAAGUUGUUGCGGUUAAAAAGCUCGUAGUUGGAUUUCUGUCAAAGGUAAGGCGGUCCAUCUUAUGGAUGUGCAUCUGCCUAUGCCUUGGCAUCCUCAUGAAGAACGUUUUCGCGCUUCACUGCGUGUUUACGGUAUUCAUGACUUUUACUUUGAGGAAAUUAGAGUGUUCACGGCAGGCAAUCGCUUUGGAUACAUUAGCAUGGAAUAAUACUAUAGGACCUCGGUUCUAUUUUGUUGGUUUCUAGAGCUGAGGUAAUGAUUAAUAGGGAUAAUUGGGGGUCUUUGUAUUGCAACGUCAGAGGUGAAAUUCUUGGAUUGUUGCACGACAAACUACUGCGAAAGCAUUGACCAAGGAUGUUUUCAUUA